ACGAACGCUGGCGGCGUGCUUAACACAUGCAAGUCGAGCGGAAAGGCCCUUCGGGGUACUCGAGCGGCGAACGGGUGAGUAACACGUGAGUAACCUGCCCCAGACUUUGGGAUAACCCUCGGAAACGGGGGCUAAUACCGGAUACGACACAGCUUCGCAUGGGGUCUGUGUGGAAAGUUUUUCGGUUUGGGAUGGGCUCGCGGCCUAUCAGCUUGUUGGUGGGGUGAUGGCCUACCAAGGCGACGACGGGUAGCCGGCCUGAGAGGGCGACCGGCCACACUGGGACUGAGACACGGCCCAGACUCCUACGGGAGGCAGCAGUGGGGAAUAUUGCACAAUGGGCGGAAGCCUGAUGCAGCGACGCCGCGUGAGGGAUGACGGCCUUCGGGUUGUAAACCUCUUUCAGCAGGGACGAAGCGUAAGUGACGGUACCUGCAGAAGAAGCGCCGGCCAACUACGU
rnacentral:rRNA from 1 species